AAUCACGAACUUGUCACAGCUUAGCUAAGAUUUAUUCCCACUUAUUACUUAAUAAUAAUCAUGAAUAUAUGCGUAGUUUAAUGAAGUGAAAUUCGUUAACUUCAGUCCUAAAGAGGGUUAGCUUUCAAUGGUUUUAGACCCAACUCUCAAAGGUGAAAAUAUGCAAUUCUGACUAACAUUUUUUAUCGGAUUCGUAUUUGCUCAUUUGUCAUCCAUUUCGCAUGAAGAACAUAUCAUUCACCAACUACAAGCCUGGUCUUUCCAAAUAUGAAAAAAUCUCGGUCAUACGCAGAGUAAUUCAGAUGCAAUAGCGCUCUGAAGUUCGAUUAUACCUUUUUUUAAACACCCUGUAUAUAAAUGACAUCGAUACAAAAUAAAAUGCUAUACUAUUUAUAUAUACGUUGCGAUACGGU